rnacentral:rRNA from 1 species
AUGAAGAUCGCUGUAGGGGAGGCCAAGGGCCUUGCCUUUCUCCACGAUGCAGACUCGCCGGUGAUCUACCGCGACUUCAAGGUCUCCAACAUCUUGCUCGAUUCGGAUUACAACACCAAGUUGUCCGACUUUGGGUUGGCCCAGGAUGGGCCCCAGGGCGACGAGACACACGUGACAACACGUGUCAUGGGGACGCAUGGUUAUGCAGCUCCAGAAUACAUCUUGACGGGCCACUUGACUGCCAAGAGUGAUGUAUAUAGUUUUGGUGUAGUGCUCUUGGAGCUCCUCUCUGGGCUACGGUCAGUGGACCGUGCACGGUGGCCGAGGGAGCAGAACCUGGUGUCUUGGGCUAGACCAUACCUCAAGCGCUCUGACAGAUUGUACAAAGUCAUGGACCCAGCUCUCGAGUGUCAAUACUCAUGCAAAGGCGUUGAGGCGGCAGCAUUGGUCGCAUACAAAUGUCUCAGCCAGAACCCAAAGUCUAGGCCCACCAUGAGGGAGGUGGUCAAGGCCCUCGAGCCCGUCCUCUACAUGGAAGACUUCUUUCCUGUGGGCCCAUUUGUGUUCACAGUCAUUGUGGAGGAGGACAAGGUAGUGGACAUGAAGGUGGAGGUCGAGGAGAAGCACCAACACCAUCGCCAGAACCAUCAAGACAGGCACCGACAGAAGUACCCUGACUCAGCAAUCCAUGCCGGCAUUGUGCUCCGCGGCCAUGAUGGGGUCAUUAAUGGGUACACUGGUGCACAACGGCGGCAACAAAGGUCGUCGAGCUACCACCGGGAGAGACGGGCAUAUGACUAA